GUCAGGAUGGCCGAGUGGUCUAAGGCGCCAGACUCAAGGAAUGACUUUCCCUUUCCCGGGAAUUCUGGUCUCCGCAUGGAGGCGUGGGUUCAAAUCCCACUUCUGACA
rnacentral:tRNA from 1 species